CUUGGGCGUCGUCUCCAUAAUAUUACCAGAAACCAGGAAGUAGCAGUGAUGAGCGGGGACACGGAGCGUCAGUGCCACAGCUGCCUGGGUUACCAGUACCUGGAUCAUCUCUCAACACAAGUAUGGCCACUCCCUUGUGCCAAGAUGGGGACCAGCAAGUGGUGAGCAGUGGGGAUUGGGCACUGCUAGAAUGGUGGAGGCAGAAAAUCAAGCAGUAAACAAUUUCUAGCACAAGAUGCUUGAGCCGUCUCCAUAAGAAAGAAGAUACUGUUCUGAAGAUACAAUGCUCAGCUCCAAAUAUGACCUCAUAGCAAUGCAGACAGACGUCCAAACCCACGGACUUAAAGCUCUGUAUUAGACACGAGAAUGCUGAUCACCGCUUGGCAUCGGGAGAUCCGGCUGACAUCACUUCACGUCUAACUUUUGGAUGCAGAACUUGCUUAUUUGCUUUGUUACACAUGAAUUAAUCAUCUAAUCUAUGAACAUCCUCCAGGCAACAGGCAAAUCACAGCAAUGCCAUGCCCUGGCCUCAGGAUUUAUUAAAGUGUACCUGUAAUCGCAAAAGAUUUUUAAAAACCGGCAUUAACCCUUCAGAGUAGUGACAAGGUGAUUUUAGUGCUGCCACUUCUAUUAUCAAGCACAUCAUUUACUCCUUACUGCUAUGGCAUGACAUAGUGAAAGUACAAUGAACCAGACAGGCUGGGAGAUUUACAUUACAGCACUACAGAUGGCAUGUUGGGGAGAAGAUGUUACUGAUGACUUUUACAAGGUGCUAUGUGAGCAAAAAUGAAAGUAACAGCAGCAGCAGCACAGAAAGGAAGGGGUUACAUUAAGCCAGCUGUUGAAAACAAAAAGAAGAGCAAGAAGGGAUUCAAUUCAGGAAGUAGAAUUGGUCCAUUCAGUAGUAGCAACAAAAAACACAGCUGUCAAAAACAUUAUGGGUGAUAUGAAAUAAAAGGAAAGCCUUGAU